rnacentral:rRNA from 1 species
GGGGGGGGGGGGGGGGGGGGGGGGGGGGGGGGGGGGGGGGGGGGGGGGCCUGCUUGGGGGGGGUGCGCGAGGGGCGAACGGGUGAGUAGCGCGUGAGUAACCUGCCCUGGCCUGUGGGAUACCUUCGGGAGACUGGGGCUGGUGCCGGAUAGGGGCUCCUGCUGCAGGGUGGUGGUUGGAAAGUUUCGGCGGUUGGGGAUGGACGCGCGGCGUAUCAGCUUGUUGGUGGGGUAGUGGCUUACCAAGGCUUUGACGGGUAGCCGGCCUGAGAGGGUGACCGGCCACAUUGGGACUGAGAUACGGCCCAGACUCCUACGGGAGGAAGCAGUGGGGAAGAUUGCACAAUGGGCGGAAGCCUGAUGCAGCAACGCCGCGUGCGGGAUGACGGCCUUCGGGUGGUAAACCGCUUUCGCCUGUGACGAAGCGUGAGUGACGGUAAUGGGUAAAGAAGCACCGGCUAACUACGUG